rnacentral:snoRNA from 1 species
UCCCUCAGGUUCCUUACCCCUUGGUUUUAAAUAUUGUUCAGAGUGUCUGGAAAAGGGGAGGAAAAGUAAACUGAGGUGGACUUGUAGUCUUUAGUGAUAUAAAAGUCCGUUUCAAACAUAU